rnacentral:rRNA from 1 species
GACGAACGCUGGCGGCGUGCUUAACACAUGCAAGUCGAACGGAAAGGCCCUGUUUGGGGGGUGUGCUCGAGUGGCGAACGGGUGUGUAACACGUGAGUAACCUGCCCUUGACUUUGGGAUAACUUCAGGAAACUGGGGCUAAUACCGGAGAGGAUCUUCUUCUGCAUGGUGGGGGCUGGAAAGUUUCGGCGGUUGGGUGUGGACUCGCGGCUUAUCAGCUUGUUGGUGGGGUAGUGGCUUACCAAGGCUUUGACGGGUCGCCGGCCUGAGGGGGUGACCGGCAACAUUGGGACUGAGAUACGGCCCAGACUCCUACGGGAGGCAGCAGUGGGGAAUAUUGCACAAUGGGCGGAAGCCUGAUCAAGCAACGCCGCGUGCGGGAUGCCGGCCUUCGGGUUGUAAACCGCUUUCGCCUGUGACGAAGCGUGAGUGACGGUAAUGGGUAAAGAAGCACCGGCUAACUACGUG